GUGCUGGCUUCAGCAACAUGUAUACUAAAAUGGGAAUAUACUAAGAAGAUUAGCAUGGCCCCUGCAGAAGGAUGACAUGCAAAUUCAUGAAACAUUCCAUAUGUUU